GACGUAGGGCGCGAGCGUUGUCCGGAUUUAUUGGGCGUAAAGAGCUCGUAGGCGGUUUGUCGCGUCGUUCGUGAAAACUCACAGCUUAACUGUGAGCUUGCGGUCGAUACGGGCAGGCUAGAGUUCGGUAGGGGAGACUGGAAUUCCUGGUGUAGCGGUGAAAUGCGCAGAUAUCAGGAGGAACACCGGUGGCGAAGGCGGCAUCCUGGACCGACACUGACGCUGAGGAGCGAAAGCCAGGGGAGCAAACGGG
rnacentral:rRNA from 1 species